rnacentral:lncRNA from 1 species
CCUGGAAGGACACAGAGGAAAGAUCCGUGCCCUGGUUGAUUGUGACUGUGAGUCACUCAGGGAGCUUUGCUGGAUGUGGUGUAUGGAGGUGGUUGAUUAACAAGCAUGGACUGAGUUAAUGCUGGGCUAUUCCCCUGAGUGGAAGAGGGAUGGCAGAGGAGGGGAGCAGGAAAGACAUGAGACAUGGAGGCCUUGGCCUUGUACUAGAGGCAUCAUGCAGCAACACAAAACAGUCAACCCCAAAUGGAACUAAAGCAUACACUAAGGGUCAAUGGAAGAGUGCCUUCCUACCUCUCAAAUGUUUUGAAACUCUUCAAAACCAACAGUAUUUUCUUAAUGUAUUCAAGAUCGUGUCAGUACACUAGGAUCCAAUUAUGCUGGUACUACAUUUAGCAUCUGUUUUAAAAGAUCUAUUACUUAAUUAAAAGUCUAUUUUAUUGGUGAAAUGGACUCAAUUUUACCCAAAUUACUCUAUUAAUCACACAUUCUUUUUCAUAGAGACCAUUUAAAAAAGAAUAUGAAAAUGCUACAAUUAAAAAUAGUCAUGAUUUCCUCUUUGUAAGUCUUCUUCUGGAAUAAUGGUGUGUGCCCACAACCUUUUGGGCCCCUGUAAUCAAGGGCUUCAUCAGCUCUGUGUCACUCUCCCUCAGGAGAUUCCGUAAAGAUCAGGUUUCAUUCAAACAGGCCAAGCUCACACAGCCUGCUCUAACUACACCAGUGAAUCUGAGAGACGUGACUCUGAACACUUUCUGCCAUGAGGAUAAGUUUCCAGGUUCAAAUAUACAUGAUCUAUGGAAAUGAGGAAAUGUAUACCAAUACAAAUGAACAAAUUCAUUAAAAAAUGUCCAUGAGGAAAAGCGUGAUUUUUUGGUUAACUAGCUUACAUAAAUUUUUUUUGUUUGAUGCCUAUUGUACCAAAAAAUAUUGGUACAAGAUAUCACAAAUUUGGCUGGGCAUGGUGGCUCAUGCCUAUAAUCCCAGCACUUUUUGGGAGGCUGAGGCGGGCAGAUCACGACAUCAAAAGAUUGAGACCAUCCCGGCCAACAUGGUAAAACCACAUCUCUACUAAAAAUACAAAAAUUAUCUAGGCAUGGUGGCACAUGACUGUAGUCCCAGCUACUCAGGAGGAUAAGGCAGAAAAAUCACUUGCACCCAGGAGGCAGAGGUAGAAGUGAGCAGAGAUCACAUCACUGCACCCCAGUAUGGUGACAGAGUGAGACUCCAUCUCAAAAAACAAAAAAGAAAAGAAAAAAAUAGAAAUCACAAAUUUAUAUCAGUCUUGUUAAAUCUAACUAAUCAGCUGUCAACAUAAAGAUUCUAGAAAGUAAAGAACAUACAAAUAAGUAGAAAGGCAUCCCAUAUUCAUGGAUAGGAAGACUGAGCCUGACUAACACACAAUACUACACAAAUAAUCUACAGAUUAACAACUGCUAUCAAACUGGUAACAGCCAUGUGUGCAGAAAUGGAAAAGAUAAUCCUCAGACUUUAAUGAAUUUUCAUUUGCCUCAAAUAAACUUGGUAAUGUUGGAAAAGAAUAGUGUUGGUGGAUGCACAUUCAUGAGAUUGAAAUCUACAAAAAACAGAAAUUCAGACAGCAUGCUUCUAGCUUGGGGGCACCCAUAAGUAUCACAGAUGUAGAAUAGAGAGCCCAGAAUUAAAUGCACACAUACAGAGUCAGCUGAUCUUCAAUGAAGGUACCAAGAAUACACAAUGAGGAAAGGAAAGUCUCUUCCACAAAUGAUGGUAAAACUGCAUAUUCUCAACAGAAUGCUGACAGUGUGCUCAAGGUUGUGCUUCUCCCUCCAUUUCCAAGACACUGGACCUUUUGCAGUGAGCCCAGAGUGAAUUUUCAUUCUGUCCUCCACACUCAGGGAGAUGUCUUGAUACCAGAGGUAAACAGCAAGCACAGACAAAUGAAUGUGCUGCCAUGAAACCUAACAGUUCAUAAGGUGAGGAUCCAUUUCUCCUAUGCAUCUGGCACACCGCAGAAGAAUUCUGUCUCCAGGAGUGAGUAACUGCUUGUGACAGAACUGUGUCCCAAACCACAGGCUCUGAGAUUUUGCAGUGGCACAGGCAGAAAAGAGCAGGUGUUCUCAGAAAAAUCAUCUUUAAAUAAUAAAGCAAGAAGAAAUGAUCAAAAAC